rnacentral:rRNA from 1 species
ACUCCGUACGGGGAGGCAGCAGGUAGGGAAUCUUCCACAAUGGGCGCAAGCCUGAUGGAGCAACACCGCGUGAGUGAAGAAGGGUUUCGGCUCGUAAAGCUCUGUUGUUAAAGAAGAACACGUAUGAGAGUAACUGUUCAUACGUUGACGGUAUUUAACCAGAAAGUCACGGCUAACUACGUGCCAGCAGCCGCGGUAAUACGUAGGUGGCAAGCGUUAUCCGGAUUUAUUGGGCGUAAAGAGAGUGCAGGCGGUUUUCUAAGUCUGAUGUGAAAGCCUUCGGCUUAACCGGAGAAAGUGCAUCGGAAACUGGAUAACUUGAGUGCAGAAGAGGGUAGUGGAACUCCAUGUGUAGCGUGGAAUGCGUAGAUAUAUGGAAGAACACCAGUGGCGAAGGCGGCUACCUGGUCUGCAACUGACGCUGAGACUCGAAAGC